rnacentral:rRNA from 1 species
GAUGAACGCUGGCGGCGUGCCUAAUACAUGCCAGUCGAGCGAACAGACGAGGAGCUUGCUCCUCUGACGUUAGCGGCGGACGGGUGAGUAACACGUGGAUAACCUACCUAUAAGACUGGGAUAACUUCGGUAAACCGGAGCUAAUACCGGAUAAUAUAUUGAACCGCAUGGUUCAAUAGUGAAAGACGGUUUUGCUGUCACUUAUAGAUGGAUCCGCGCCGCAUUAGCUAGUUGGUAAGGUAACGGCUUACCAAGGCAACGAUGCGUAGCUGACCUGAGAGGGUGAUCAGCCACACUGGAACUGAGACACGGUCCAGACUCCUACGGGAGGCAGCAGUAGGGAAUCUUCGGCAAUGGGCGAAAGCCUGACGGAGCAAUGCCGCGUGAGGGAUGAAGGUCUUCGGAUCGUAAACUGCUGUUGUUAGGGAAGAACAGAUGUGUAAGUAACUAUGGACGUCUUGACGGUACCGAAUCAAAAAGCAACGGCUAACUACGUG